GGGCGGUUAGCUCAGUUGGCCAGAGCGCCAGCUUGACAUGCUGGAGGCCACAAGUUCAAGUCUUGUACCGCCCACCU
rnacentral:tRNA from 1 species